UUGGUAGUGUUGUUGGCUUUACUUUUUUUUUGUUCUCAUAUCUCUCGUUUUCUCUCGCGCGAGCGCUCACAUUCGAUUGAGUAUACUGCAAACGCUGAAUCGACAAACAUAGUCUUAAUCUCACACACAUCUCGCCUUUAGCUUCUAAUUAAAGAAGAGAAAAAGAAGAAAAAGACGGAAAAAUGACUACGACGACGACAACAACAACAGCGAACGUUGUUGUUGAGAAGGAAAAAUAAGAGAAAAAAAAACAUUGAGCUCCACAUACAUUUGCAGCGCGUACUCCUGAGUCCAUCCACACCGAGAUGUGAUGGUAAUUGGGUAAAACACACAUGAAUCCAAAAACCAGCGCCAGAAACAGGCGCAAUACGCUGACAAAACAACAACAACAUCAGCAGCAGCAGUAACAACACACAUCUCAAGCAGACACGAACAAGAAGGAAAAGGAAGCAUACAGAGUCAGAGCAUGAGCGAGAGACAAAGUGCCGAUAGCCUGAAAUCGAACGCUAUGCUGAGAGACGCACUAUAAGAGUUUACUUGUUGCGAUUGGCUACAAAGACUUUUGUCUUUUGUCGAUUCAACGGAUCGCAUAGCCCAUGCAGUAUGUUUGUCGUCUGACUCCGAUCGAGCUGUUUAUUUUCGUUCAAGAGAAAUUAUUGUAGCAGCAGCAGCAACAGCAGCAAUAGCGGCAACGGUGGCGGCAGGUAUCUGGCCAGUAUGCUGAUUGCAUGUUCCUAAGACACGCACAUAUGUGUGUGUAUAAACAGGUAUAUAAAAUUGAUUGCGAAUUUUAUGCUGUGUCGUUAGUGAUAAAGUUGGAUGAGUAGUAAUUUCUAAAUUGUCGCUUACAAUCAACCGCAGCCAGAAGAAAAUAAAACAACAACUGAGAGAGAAUUGAAUUGAGCGGGGAAGGGAAAAAAUAAGAAGAAGAAGUAGUAGUAGUAGCAGUAGUAGCAGCAGCGACAACAGCAACAGCGUCAGCAGUGACGAGGAGAACACAAAAAAAGAAGUGAAGAAUCGAAAACUUCUCGGAGAGCGGAGCAAGAAGCAGAAGUCAAACGAGAACAGUGGAAUGGAGAGAAAAAGCGAGAGCGAGUAAGCGAGCGAAAGAAUAAAAAGAAAGAGAACAGAUUGAACCAGCGAUCGGUGAUCGUACUCGCCAACAAAGCGAAUGACUGACCGCCGAGAGACAACAAGAGUUCGUUUCUCAAUUUAUAACAAUUUUUUUUUCUCCUUAUAAAUACAAUUUCAAAUUUGCCGCAAGAAGUGUCGUUAUUUCUUGACUUUUCUUCUUUUUUUCAAUAAAUGGAAGCUUAAAUUGAUAU